rnacentral:rRNA from 1 species
UACGUAGGGACCAAGCGUUGUUCGGAUUUACUGGGCGUAAAGCGCACGUAGGCGGACAUUUAAGUCAGGGGUGAAAUCCCAGAGCUCAACUCUGGAACUGCCUUUGAUACUGGGUGUCUUGAGUAUGGAAGAGGUGAGUGGAAUUCCGAGUGUAGAGGUGAAAUUCGUAGAUAUUCGGAGGAACACCAGUGGCGAAGGCGGCUCACUGGUCCAUUACUGACGCUGAGGUGCGAAAGCGUGGGGAGCAAACAGG